UUUUUUCAUAAAUAUCUUGUAUUCUUAAAUAAUUUUCUUAAAAACUGCUAUUUUUGGAAAGUUUUCAUUUUUUUGAGAAAUAUUGUAGAUUUGGGUUUGUGAUUUAGAAAUUAGGAUAACAAGAAUAUUUGUGGAUAGAUAAGUAUUCUGUAAUAUUUUUUCAUAAAUAUCUUGUAUUCUUAAAUAAUUUUCUUAAAAACUGC
rnacentral:lncRNA from 1 species